ensembl:lncRNA
GAGCACUGUUAAAAUAAUUUUGAGGCACUGACACAGUCCAGGGGCAAUCCAACUCCUCAGGAGCAGCCAAGGCUGAUGACUGACGUGAUCAAAAACUGUCACCAUGUAUAUUUAAUUUCUAGUCAAAUUAUCUCAUUAAGAUAUACUAAUAUAAGACAUAAUCAUAUGACAAGGGAUAUGUUUUUCAUCUCAGGUCCAUCUCUAUCCUCUGCUCCCACUGACCUCUCUGCAACCUCAGCUGUACCUGGUCCAUCUCUAUCCACUGUGCCCACUGUCCCUUUUGUGUCUUCUGCAACCUCAGCUGUACCUGGUCCUUCAUCUUUGGUCAUCGAGAUUGAUUUGUCCUCAUCAGCGUCCAGUUUGGAGCAGGGAUCAGCAGCUCAGCCAGUUGACCCAGCUGAGUGUCUCUCUUUCCUGUCAGACUCAGAAAGGACUGAACAGCCCAGUUUGUCCUCACCUGGUGAAGUUGUGCAGAUCAGCUGAGUCGUGUGUGAGUCUUCUUGACUUCCAACUGGAGCUGCUUGUCUGAUGAAUUCGGAUUCUGGGAGGAAACUUAUAUACUCUAUACACUACAUACUGUAAGAUCUGUCUUCCACCGACUCCUCCCAUGACACACCAUGACGUAUUAUAUAUUCAGGUAACUGCGUUUAGGACUGAUACCUGUUGUCAGGUGAUAAUGUUGUUCUCUGAAGAAAUAAAGAGAUAAGUAACUUAGUGUGCUGCCUUCCCUCACUUCUGCCAGACUUUUACUGAACCCCAGUAUGUGUUUUAUCAUUGUCAAAAUAAUAAAACAGUCACAAAUAAAAAUGUGUUUUAUAAUCCUUUACAUAGAAAUGAUAAGAUUAUACAUUAUUUCAGAAGCAUUUCUUUUGACCUUAAUUACACAAAUGUUUCCUGAACAUUGAAUAUCAAACAAUAAGACAACCAAACAACAUAUAACAUACUUUAUCACCUAAGCAGAGUUAUUUCACAGGGAACAAAGGUCACAAUAAACAGACUGAGAAGACUGCUACAUGUUAAUGCCCACACUGGGUAAAGUUUUGUUUUGCAGGAAAUGUUCUGACUUCCUCUUUCACCUCCCUGAUUCCUGUAGGAUGAAAAUGAAAAUGAGGUCUUAAAGUUGAAUACAGUCGAUCACUUUUCAUCUGGAGGUCUAUUGGUGAAUGUUUCCACAAAACCCCACAUACUGAAAGUCUGUGUAGAUUUGUAUUUGUUUAGUCGUCUCAAGUCGAACUGACUCCAAACACCUGUAACGCUCUCAGGAAUUCAGACUGAUUUAACUGAAUCAUGAGCUUCAAACAUUUUUGAAAAUAUUCACACUCAAAAAAUAUGGAGGACCAAAACUGCCAAAAUCUAAAACAGACAAAGAAAAAACCACUGGGCAGUCAGUAUUUUUUACCAUUUGUUGAUGUUUUUCUGUCUGGAGAACACAGUAUCUGUGUGAAACAGGCAGGCAUAACAUACAAGAAGGCGUUUGUGGGGUUUUUGAUCUGAUAUGAAUGCUGAACACACCCAGCUGGCACUUCACCAACACCGGCAAGUCUUUUGUGUAAAGGAACGUAGAAAUAUUAAUCCGACAGAAACUCUCUUCUGACUUCAGGCAUGCACACCUCCAGACACGACAACCAAUGUGAACAUUAUGUUUUAAGGAACGAGGAAAUAACAAGACAAAAAAUAAUUCUCCCUGUUUGCAUGAAUUGCAGCUUCCUCCCACAGUCCAAACUUGUCUGUCAGGUUAUAUGUAACAAAAUUAAAAUGAUUAAUCCAUCAAUUAUUCAUUCACGUGUACAGAAAACCAUGUUCAGCUGUCAUCACUCCUGUGGUGCAAUGGCACACGGUGUUAGCAAAUACAAGUUUGUUGUGUUCUCUUAUUCUGAGAAAUGAGCAUUUCUUUUAACCUUAAUUACACAAAUGUUUCCUGAACAUUGAAUAUCAAACAACAGGACAACCAAACAACAUGUAACAUACUUUAUACCAUGGUCUGGGGGAAUACUCGAUUCUGAUUGGCUGCAGGGUGUCCAUUAACCCCUGAUAUACGGACACCUACGAAGUAGUUCCAGUCAAAUUGACUGUUCACCACUGUAAAUUAAUGCGCUAGCUGGCGUAUCAAAUCUGAAUAUUUUAUUUCCAGCACUGAGUGCAGUCUGACUGUCAGUCCUUCAGUGUCUUAUCCUCUGAACACCACAGGGUGGCGACUGUAACACACAAGCUGCAGAAAGUACACUUCCCCUCUAAAUUUACUGAUACGCGAGUUGUCUCACGCUGUUCAGCUCUCUGCUUCAGGCUGCGGCCACAGUAACGUUACACACGGCCGGUCAUUUGUUCGUGAAAAUCUUGCUAUUGAUUUGGGGAUAAUGACAUGACUGGUUAGCGAGCUAAUCGUGUUAGCUUGCAUACUGUCACAUUGUUUUUACUGUUUGUCAACCGUGCGCAAUGUUAUUGACUUUGAAUCUUGCUAGCAUAGCGUUAGCUUGCUGGCUCAUGGCUGAGCAGACUAGAAUAUCUCCCGUUGCCAAGUCGUAUCUAUGAUCCGUCCUAUUUACUGGAGGAGUGAACAACGUUUCCGUUGCAUAAGAACCUUAUGGGAGGGUAAUGAUUGUUCCAGGUAUUAGUCAAACCCUCAGGCGUUACCAGGAAAACUAAGUUCCGGCUUGUAAAAAACUUUAUAUUUUGACUGUAAAACGCAACAAAAUGUAAAUUAAUGGUCCAAAUUUCUUUUCUUUGGCAAGUGACCAUGGUAUAAGCGGGAUAAUGCCCUUCGAGGUGUCCAUAAACAGGAGUUAAUGGAGUUCGCGGAGGCAACCGUCCUCCGCUGCGCGUCGGACGGUUCUUAGGCCUCCGCGUCGUCCAUUAACUCCUGUUU